GGAAAAUGAGGGUAAAGAAGGUACAUGGUUCAAGCACUCCAGUGUAAUGUAUAUACAACAAAUGCUAUAUUGCCCUCUAGCAAGAAUCCAGUUGAGCAAAACACAGAGCAGAUGCCAGCUGGAACAGAGUGUCCUGACGUCCCCUUUGCAAAUGGAGAGGGGUUUUGGGUGGUGGCCGGAGGAGAAAUCUCAAAUAAACCACUCAAUUGCAGGAAGUCAAUAAUUUUUAUCCAAUGAGGCAUGAUGAGGGGUCGGUGCCAACCUGCUACCAUUCAAGCAGAUUGGCGAAAAAUUGACCAUGCAGAAAACGGGGAGUGCUCUUGUUACAGAUGGAAUAAAGAUCUGUCCUGCCUGGUGCUAACUUUGGCCUAGCGCUAGUAGUUCUCAGGUUCCAAUUAAAUGAUGAAAUUAAAUGCCAA